AAGACUAUAGACCUGCGGAGUACCUGCGGAGGGAUCAUUACCUUGGACAGAGGGACCGCCCUAGCGCGUUGUAUGCCAGCGCCUAGGGUGGUCUUGCUGCGCCCAACCGUGUCUUUGGUGGAUUGUCUGUUUCCUCGGCGGGCUUGCUCGCCAAUGGGGACUAACCUAAACACUUUUGUAGUUGUAGUUGUACUGUCAGUUAACAAACCUAUUAAAACUUUCAGCAAUGGAUCUCUAGAU
rnacentral:misc_RNA from 1 species